UGCUUGCACUUUCCAAGUAAGUGGCGAACGGGUGAGUAACACGUGAAUAACCUACCUCAAAGUCUGGGAUAACCAUUGGAAACAGUGACUAAUACCGGAUAAAACCCAAGUGCACAUGCACUAAGGUUAAAAGCUGCGUUUGCAGCGCUUUAAGAUGGAUUCGCGGUGCAUUAGUUAGUUGGUGAGGUAAAGGCUCACCAAGACGAUGAUGCAUAGCCGAGUUGAGAGACUGACCGGCCACAUUGGGACUGAGACACGGCCCAAACUCCUACGGGAGGCUGCAGUAGGGAAUCUUCCACAAUGGGCGCAAGCCUGAUGGAGCAACGCCGCGUGUGUGAUGAAGGCUUUCGGGUCGUAAAGCACUGUUGUAUGGGAAGAACGGGUUUAAGAGGAAAUGCUUAGACAGUGACGGUACCAUACCAGAAAGGGACGGCUAAAUACGUGCCAGCAGCCGCGGUAAUACGUAUGUCCCGAGCGUUAUCCGGAUUUAUUGGGCGUAAAGCGAGCGCAGACGGUUGCUUAAGUCUGAAGUGAAAGCCCACAGCUCAACUGUGGAAUGGCUUUGGAAACUGGGCAACUUGAGUACAGUAGAGGUAAGUGGAACUCCAUGUGUAGCGGUGGAAUGCGUAGAUAUAUGGAAGAACACCAGUGGCGAAGGCGGCUUACUGGACUGCAACUGACGUUGAGGCUCGAAAGUGUGGGUAGCAAACAGGAUUAGAUACCCUGGUAGUCCACACCGUAAACGAUGGAUACUAGUUGUUAGAGGGUUUCCGCCCUUUAGUGACGAAGCAAACGCAUUAAGUAUCCCGCCUGGGGAGUACGACCGCAAGGUUGAAACUCAAAGGAAUUGACGGGGACCCGCACAAGCGGUGGAGCAUGUGGUUUAAUUCGAAGCAACGCGAAGAACCUUACCAGGUCUUGACAUCCUUUGAAGGUACUAGAGAUAGUACUGUCUUCUUCGGAAGCAAAGUGACAGGUGGUGCAUGGCCGUCGUCAGCUCGUGUCGUGAGAUGUUGGGUUAAGUCCCGCAACGAGCGCAACCCUUAUGUUUAGUUGCCAGCAUUCAGUUGGGCACUCUAGACAGACUGCCGGUGACAAACCGGAGGAAGGCGGGGACGACGUCAGGUCAUCAUGCCCCUUAUGACCUGGGCUACACACGUGCUACAAUGGCGUAUACAACGAGCAGCAAACCUGUGAAGGUAAGCGAAUCUCUUAAAG
rnacentral:rRNA from 1 species